UACAGAGGUCCCAAGCGUUGUUCGGAUUCACUGGGCGUAAAGGGUGCGUAGGCGGUCGGGUAAGUCUGACGUGAAAUCCCGCAGCUCAACUGCGGAACUGCGUCGGAUACUAUUCGGCUUGAGGAAUGGAGGGGAGACUGGAAUUCUCGGUGUAGCAGUGAAAUGCGUAGAUAUCAAGAGGAACACCUGAGGUGAAGACGGGUUGCUGGGCUGACACUGACGCUGAGGCGCGAAAGCUAGGGGAGCAAACGGG
rnacentral:rRNA from 1 species